rnacentral:rRNA from 1 species
AGAGUUUGAUCCUGGCUCAGGAUGAACUCUGGCGGCGUGCUUAACACAUGCAAGUCGAACGAAGCACUCAUGACAGAUUCUUCGGAUGAUGGAAUGAUUGACUGAGUGGCGGACGGGUGAGUAACGCGUGGGUAACCUGCCUCAUACAGGGGGAUAACAGUUAGAAAUGACUGCUAAUACCGCAUAAGCGCACAGUACCGCAUGGUAUGGUGUGAAAAACUCCGGUGGUAUGAGAUGGACCCGCGUCUGAUUAGCUAGUUGGUGAGGUAACGGCUCACCAAGGCGACGAUCAGUAGCCGGCCUGAGAGGGUGAACGGCCACAUUGGGACUGAGACACGGCCCAAACUCCUACGGGAGGCAGCAGUGGGGAAUAUUGCACAAUGGGCGAAAGCCUGAUGCAGCGACGCCGCGUGCGGGAUGACGGCCUUCGGGUUGUAAACCGCUUUUGUUGGGGAGCAAGCUUUUUGUGAGUGUACCUUUCGAAUAAGCACCGGCUAACUACGUGCCAGCAGCCGCGGUAAUACGUAGGGUGCAAGCGUUGUCCGGAAUUAUUGGGCGUAAAGGGCUCGUAGGCGGUUCGUCGCGUCCGGUGUGAAAGUUCACUGCUUAACGGUGGAUUUGCGCCGGGUACGGGCGGGCUGGAGUGCGGCAGGGGAGACUGGAAUUCCCGGUGUAACGGUGGAAUGUGUAGAUAUCGGGAAGAACACCAAUGGCGAAGGCAGGUCUCUGGGCCGUUACUGACGCUGAGGAGCGAAAGCGUGGGGAGCGAACAGGAUUAGAUACCCUGGUAGUCCACGCCGUAAACGGUGCACCCAAGAGGUGGGGCCCAUUCCGCGGGUUUCGGUGUCGGAGCUAACGCGGUUAAGCGUCCCGCCUGGGGAGUAGGGCCGCAGGGCUAAAACUCAAAGAAAUUGACGGGGGCCCGCACAAGCGGCGGAGCAUGCGGAUUAAUUCGAUGCAACGCGAAGAACCUUACCAGGGCUUGACAUGUUUCGGUUUGCCCCGGAGACGGGGUUUCCCUUCGGAGCCGUUUCACAGGUGGUGCAUGGUUGUCGUCAGCUCGUGUCGUGAGAUGUUGGGUUAAGUCCCGCAACGAGCGCAACCCUUAUGGUCAGUUACUAACGGGUGAAGCCGAGGACUCUGACAAGACUGCCGGGGACAACUCGGAGGAAGGUGGGGACGACGUCAAAUCAUCAUGCCCCUUAUGACAUGGGCUACAAACGUGCUACAAUGGUGGCUACAAAGAGGAGCGAGCCUGUGAAGGUAAGCGGAUCUCAAAAAAGCCAUCUCAGUUCGGACUGUGGGCUGCAACCCGCCCACACGAAGUUGGA